rnacentral:piRNA from 1 species
UGGUAACUCCCGGGUUUUGGCACCAA